CAAGUCGAACGAGCUUCAACCAGUCGCAAGACUGGGGAAAAGCUAGUGGCGAACGGGUGAGUAACACGUGAGCAACCUGCCUCGAAGACUGGGAUAACAGCGGGAAACCGCUGCUAAUACCGGAUACCCCCAUCGGGUCGCAUGGCCUGAUGAGGAAAUGAAUUUCGCUUCGAGAGGGGCUCGCGGGCUAUCAGGUUGUUGGUGAGGUAAUGGCCCACCAAGCCUACGACGGCUAGCUGGUCUGAGAGGACGACCAGCCACACUGGGACUGAGACACGGCCCAGACUCCUACGGGAGGCAGCAGUGGGGAAUCUUGCGCAAUGGGCGAAAGCCUGACGCAGCAACGCCGCGUGCGGGAUGACGGCCUUCGGGUUGUAAACCGCUUUCAGCAGGGACGAAAUUGACGGUACCUGCAGAAGAAGCCCCGGCCAACUACGUGCCAGCAGCCGCGGUAAUACGUAGGGGGCGAGCGUUGUCCGGAUUCAUUGGGCGUAAAGCGCUUUAAGGCGGUUCGCUAAGUCGGGUGUGAAACCUCCAGGCUCAACCUGGAGACGCCACUCGAUACUGGCGUGACUAGAGUUCGGUAGGGGAUCACGGAAUUCCUGGUGUAGCGGUGAAAUGCGCAGAUAUCAGGAGGAACACCGGUGGCGAAGGCGGUGAUCUGGGCCGACACUGACGCUGUAGAGCGAAAGCGUGGGGAGCGAACAGGAUUAGAUACCCUGGUAGUCCACGCCGUAAACGUUGGGCACUAGGUGUGGGGGAUUAUCAACGUCCUCCGUGCCGUAGCUAACGCAUUAA
rnacentral:rRNA from 1 species